AGUUUAUUUAUAUUCAAAAUUAUUUUAAAAUAUUCACUUUGUUUAUACACAAAAUGCAUGUUUAUAAAUGAAUAUUUAACUCUGACUUUUCGCACGCCCAAUUAAAUUUGUUUAUUGAAAUGUUAUAAACAAAGGGUAUGCAAAAUGUGUUACUUAACGAAGGGAAUCGACAACAAGAAUAACAAGAAGAAGAAGAAGAGCAACUUCUGAUACCGCUGAUAAAUAUUAAUGCCAAGCAAAGUGUGCACUGAGCCGCACUGCGGCCAAAGGACUUUGUCGAAGUGGCCGACGACCUGCGGCAUUGGGCAAGGGAUUGACAAUGGGCGUAGGCAUGGCAGUGGGCACGACAGUAGGCAUGGUCAUGGAGCGAACGCGCUGGCCACAGGAGGCGACCAGGCUAUAAAGACAACAACAGCAACAGGAGUAGCAAUAGCAACAGGAGAAGGGACAUAAACGAAGAUCAGGGGCAGGGGCAGGAGCAGGAGCCGCACUCAUUGUCAGUGCUCGUCCAGCAGCAAGUCAUAUUUGUGCCCCGGUGUGCGUGUCAAAGGAAUUGUUGAGCCAGGACAAGCCAUUGUAAGCGUUGCCAGCGACUGCUCUUUGACAUUCAUUUAAUUGAGUCGCCGCCAGCUGCGAGCUGCGAGCGGCCCCUUUUUGAUUUUGCAUUUCAAAUGAAGCAAACGAAUCAUUUUCGUUUUGUGGUUUGCGGUAAAUUAAUUACAUUUUAGACAACAUUUGAAGUAGUCUGACGGCGAAUUAGGCAACAGGCUUUCAGCGGCAAUUCAGAAUUUCAGUUGCAAAAAUUUAAUAGGCAUUAUUUGUGAGUGUGUGUGUGUGUGCCAAGAGAGGUGUCCUGCAGACUUUGUCCUCUCUCUCUCUUUUUUUUAAGGCACUUUUAUUUUAUUAUUAUUAUCGCUUUGGCAUAAUUCCCAAAAGCCAAAACGGCACAAAAUGGCCCAAAACGAGCCGAAUGGCUGCCAGACAAUGAGGCACAACCGGAGCUUCACACUUUUGUCCCAUCUGCAAAGGGGCUUGCUGUGGGGGGCGGGGCGAGGCAAAUAGCAAGUUGGCUGCCAACUUGCGGCAGUUGAGACAACGGUGUGAAAAAUGAAAUUAUAAGCAAAACGACAGGCUGCCAGCGACACGAGGCGACGCGACGCGACGCGGCAAAGAUACACAAUAAAAAAUUGUCGACUAAAUUAGAAUAUUUUAUGCUACUUUCUUUAAAUUUAAAUUAAAUUUUUAUGUCCAGAAAAA